GCUCCUCUGGAAAACAACUAAGUUUUCGGCUCCAAAUUAUGAAGUGAAGAAAUUUUGUUUUCGAUUAAAUUGUCUACUUUUUCGUAAUCUUUCGAAUGAGCAAAAUUUGUGUAUUUUGGCAAAAUAAAAGCAAAAUUGAAAAGCGUGAAAUAUGUUGUAAAUUGUAACUCAAAGAAAUUGAGUUUGCUUGAUUGAUAUUUGUGUUUAAUUGUGCAAAAAGGGACGAAAAAAAAAUUUUACCACUGGACGUACAAAAGUUCUGCAAUUGUGUUAACAAGUCUAACUAGUUGUAUAUUUAAGCUAUAUAAUCUAGCGACAACACAUACCAAUAGCUGUGCGGAGCGUAUCCCAAUGAACGAUUUAGCCUCGCCUUACAGAGGAACAGAUUAUUGAAUACUCAGAUUCGCCAAUAACUAUCCACUUAACCUGCCCAUGUUAAUAGAACACAACAAUAAAUAACACUUGUGUGUUCUGGUUGCCUGUUUGAAUCAUAAAACAGAUCCACCAGCAAAUGCUAAUGCCUAUAAUUGGGUAGUUAGUAGGACACAAAUACUUUAUGCGGGAGACAGGACUACUUACCGCAAUUGAUACUUGAUGGAGACUGUAUGCUAAUAAAAGUUUCAUUUUACCAUAUAUUAGUUUAAAAAUAAUACACGACGGUACCACGGUCUCGACUGAGGCCGCGCAGCUUGCGUCGAUUAUGAACGUGCUGUAUAUCUAUAUAUACACAACAUAAAAAAUAAUACCUGACUUAUACAAUAUACAAAACGUGGUAUGGAUAUAUGCUGAUGAUAUAUAUAUAGAUAUAGACAUUUAUAUAUAUGUGAAUCAUAUUGAGUGGAUCUGUUUUACACUGAAGCAAAGGAGAAGGAAGCUACUAUCCAUACAAUUACUUGUACGCCCAUUACACUGAACAUUGUAAGCCAACAUCACAUUCUGGUCUGAGCGGUACCACGACACUCAACACCUCACUCACCUUGGCAGAAGUCGCAAUUUGUUUGACUUCUCGUUUCUUGUGAAAAGAUGCACACGGUUCGCGCAGCUUGCGCUCAGAAUGGAAUUGGGAACAUUGAUGUUACUAAGUGCUACAAAAAUAAAUGCCGAUAGAAAAUAAUAAA